rnacentral:rRNA from 1 species
AGUGAACGCUGGCGGCGUGCCUAACACAUGCAAGUCGAACGAUGAUGGAGGAGCUUGCUCUUCCUGAUUAGUGGCGCACGGGUGAGUAAUGCAUAGAUAAUGUGCCCCUUAGUUCGGGAUAGCCACUGGAAACGGUGAUUAAUACCGGAUACUCCUUCUUAUCAUAAGAUAAGUCGGGAAAGUUUUUCGCUAAGGGAUCAGUCUAUGUUCCAUCAGUUAGUUGGUGAGGUAACGGCUCACCAAGACAAUGACGGAUAUCUGGUUUGAGAGGAUGAUCAGACACACUGGAACUGAGACACGGACCAGACUCCUACGGGAGGCAGCAGUGAGGAAUAUUGCACAAUGGAGGAAACUCUGAUGCAGCAACGCCGCGUGGAGGAUGACGCAUUUCGGUGUGUAAACUCCUUUUAUUAGGGAAGAUUAUGACGGUACCUAAUGAAUAAGCACCGGCUAACUCCGUGCCAGCAGCCGCCGUAA